rnacentral:tRNA from 1 species
UAAGCUCAAGGGCCAUACUCUAGCCAACCAUCCGAUUUGCAAUCAGACAACCUUCUUAAGCCU